GCCAUUCCUGAGAACUCUAGGCUGUUUAUCUCCCUGCUCUCAGGGCUGACAAGGCCAUGCAGAAUUCCCAUGUGAAGACAGAACAUAACCUCCAGGUCCAAGUUCUGCAGGUGGAAAGGAAGGUGCACCAGGAGGCUUGUCUUGGAAGAGAUUCCAGACCCUGUCAAACUGACAGGAACCAUCACACUUCUCUCGAUUACAAUUAAUGGAUUCUGGAUCAUCUCAAAUAUGUGGGUUUUCCAGUUGACAGCCUCCUACAACUGCGUAAAUUGCAUACGAAAGUUAUGUCUGUAACACUGUUGUAAAGCAGGAGAGCAUUGCUUCCAGAACCAAAGAAUUCAUCAUACAUGCUUGAAAAGAAAACAAGAGAGGGAGGCAAAAGCUGGAUGACACAGGCACCAAUAAUCAGAGAAGAUAAUGAAAGACAUCCAGGAAUCACUCAUAUUCUAAGGUCAUGGUCUUAUGGAAUGGCUGUACUAAAUUUGAAUUAUCAGUUGAGGUGAAGGCAAAAGGAUUCUACAGAGGAGGUCUUCAUGAAAGAUAUCCAAAACUUGAUCUUCACUGAAAAACAAGACUGAAGGCAAGCAGAAGGUUGUUUUGGCAAAGCAUACUGAACUGAUAAAGAACUAAUUAGUGUAUUUGAGUUCAGGCCUUGGGACAUUUUGUCCAAAUGCUUUCUUUUUAAUUCAUAAUUUAAAAUGUACCUCUCUCUUUUACUUUGAAACGCAUGCUUCCUUUGGAGUAAAUUCUGAUGGUAUAUAAAGGAGUGAGUUAUAUCUAAAUGAUUUAAAUGUGUUCACCAUGAAUUGCCAGUAACUGUUUUACUCUCCUGACAUUAUAAAAUCUGUCAAAUAUAAUUCAGGAAGAUGUCAAGCAUUAAACAGAGAU
rnacentral:lncRNA from 1 species